rnacentral:lncRNA from 1 species
UCUAAUUUCUCGUCAUUAGCAUCUUAUUUCUUAGACGGAACAUCAUGGUAAAGCUCCAUCAAAGUAGCAAGGACAUCGCCCCAUCUAGGGUUCCGCCUUCCCCUGGCGACAAAAAGGAAGAGGUAGAAAAGACCCUCGUUCCCCUAACGGUGGAUAAUGUGCUUCCCAAAGAAAUGCACAUUCGACAGAAGUUUCAAACGAGAAACCCAGCUUUCCCCUGGGAGCAUAGUGAAUUAUUACAGCCCCAUUUGGAUAAUCUUCGAGCGGCGCAUAACAUUCGGGGCCA